rnacentral:lncRNA from 1 species
AGCUCUUCCAAUCUGCUCCAAUCUAACAGGGUCAGUACGCUUCUCAAAAUACACACUCUCGGCUAUCUCAGCUUCAAGUGGCCUUCUACUCAUAAUGAACCCCAACUGGCGAAGAGAAAGAACCGGGUUGUAAUUGAUACAACCCUUGGUCCCCACGAGUGGCACGUUCCGGAAUUCUCCACAACUCAUAAUAACGUCCCGCACAUCCAUCCGGUAUGAAUGCCAUCUGAUGUCAUAUGAAGUGAGAGACAUCACCCUC